GGGCCCGCACAAGCGGUGGAGUAUGUGGUUUAAUUCGAUGCAACGCGAAGAACCUUACCAGGGUUUGACAUCCUGCGAAUCUCUUGGAAACAGGAGAGUGCCUUCGGGAACGCAGUGACAGGUGGUGCAUGGCUGUCGUCAGCUCGUGUGGUGACAUGUUGGAUUAAUUUCCCGAACGAGCGAAACCCUGCUAUAUUGUAAUAACUUUAUGUAAUUCAAUAUAGACCGCCAGUGAUAGACUGGAGGCAGGAUAGGAUGACGUCAAGUCCUCAUGACCCUUAUGAACUGGGCUACACACGUGUUACAAUGGUGUAAACAAAACGUAGCAAUGAUGAAAAUCGGAGCCAAUCGCUAAAUUACACCUCAGUACGGAUUGGUGUCUGCAACUCGACUCCAUGAAGCCGGAAUCACUAGUAAUCGUGGAUC
rnacentral:rRNA from 1 species